rnacentral:lncRNA from 1 species
GUUUUGAAUUGCACUGGAGACAAUCUGUUCCAAAAGACUCAAGUCUUCUUCACAGAGGAAUCUGAUCUCUCAAGAUGUCUCUGGCUGUUUUGAAAUUAAAAUGAUAUUUUGACUGCAAGUGCAUGAAAAGGCAGGCUCAAAGAGUGCUGGAAACUGAGAUAUAAAGGUGGUUCCUGUGCAAAAUAGACAAUUCUACUUAGCUGACAUAGUGUUGUAGGAAACUGGAGGGGUGGUGAAAUGAGUUUGGAAAUUCUCUUCAGGGAAAAUUAAUUUCAGCAAGCUUUGGAAAAUCUUACAGACUUUUCUGGUACCCUCUGUCACCCCUCUUCUUCCCUUGUUAUCUCUCUAAAGUAGGAAAAGGUUCAGUACACAGUACUCUUCUCAAAACCUUUGUGAAGAGAGUGCUUCGGGGCAAGGAAUUGGAUGGAAGCAACAGACAACCAGUUUGCCAUGAGAUGGCUGGAAAUACAGCUAUGACUCCUCUCAGUUUCAUUAUUACUGAAGAGUGUUUGAAAUACAGAGCCUUCUGUGUUGUGCCAGUAGGGCAGUGGGCCUCCCCCACCGUGGUUAUAUGGGAGCAUAUGAAGGAAGCAAUGUAUCACAAACAAGACCAGCAGAUGGUUUUGUCCUCAAGUCUCUCAUUGGUGGCAGUAAUUCUAAAGGGAACAGCAACGCUGGUGCAGUGCUAUUUGUGUGUCUCCAGCUCCAGCAGUUGUUGCUGUGGGUGGAGAGAGCAGGCACUCAUCUUCAGUGUGAGGAGCCCCAGACUUUGGAAAAGAACAAGAAAAUCUGUCUCCUGA